CGCAGUGGCUCACACCUGUAAUCCCAACACUUUGAGAGGCCAAGGCAGGCGGAUAACCUGAGGUCAGGAGCUCGAGACCAGCCUGGCUAAUGUGGUGAAACCCCAUCCCUAUUAAAAAUACAAAAAAAUUGGCCAGGCGUGGUGGCGGACGCCUGUAAUCCCAGCUACUUGGGAGGCUGAGGCGGGAGAAUCACUUGAACCUGAGAGGUGGAGGUUUCAAUGAGCUGAGGUCACGCCACUGCACUCCAGCCUGAGCGACAGAGCGAGACUGUCUCAAAACAAAACAAAACAAAACAAAAAAAGUACAAACACAUAUGCAAUAUAAUUACUCUGACCAUAAGACAAUUAUUAGGUUGGUGCAAAUGGAAUUAUUGCAGUUUUUGCCAUUACUUUCAAUGGCAAAAACCACAAUUACUUUUGCUCCAACCUAAUACGAUUUUAUUUACAAAAUUCAGUAUCCAUUGCAGACGAUACAGCCUCAUAAUAGGAUAUAAGCUUUAAAAGUUGCAUCCUCUUUAUUCUGUAUAAUGUGUCUCUAUAAUUAUCCUGACACUGGAGAUGGCAAAGACUAAAUCUGAGCUCUUUCAUGAACAUGAGGCUGCUGCCUAAGUGGGCUUCCUGGUGAGCCACACAACCCCACCCACACAUCUAGUCUGUGGUAGAGUCUCGUGCUCCAGUGUUCUGUCCCCAUCUUUUUUCUUUGCUUCAAAUUCCUCUGAAGGUCAUGCUUAAAAGUCCCACAUUUACUGAAUUUCUCCUUCAUCAUAGCUCCAUGUGAGACACAGUGAGGGAUUCUAGGCUGACUUUCAUGGAAUCUAUCCAAUAGCUUGAAAUGAAAAGAAGAGAAAGUAGCAAAUCGAACAACAACAAUAACAAAGUACAGAUGAAAACCAUGUGUAAAGGACCACGCUCCAGCAGUUUCUGUCUUUUCAAUGAAGUACAUUCCUCUCCCACCAAGAAAUUUCACUCUGGUAGAAGACUCCUGCCACGACCACCAAGCUUUCUCAGAGGUACUCCCCUGGUUCUUAAAGAAACCACAGGCAGAAUGAGGGACUCUUACAUCUGAAACAGGGGCACAAUCCCAGAGAGUGAGCUUAAUCAAUAAUCACGGUACAAUUUAUCGAUUGUCCAUGUGAGAUGACAUGGGAAAGAAGGUUCCAUGUGCCUCUCAGAGGCCUUUUCCCAACCUCCUUCCUGUCUCUGUUCCCAUGUGAUUCCCACUUUUGAACCCAGCCUUUGGGUGUGUGCCUAUGCUCUGGAACCAGUUAGGAUUUUACACAGAAGAGAUAUAAAAUGCAACAUUGAUUGUCUAUAAGAACUGGAAAUAAAGAGCCUAUCAAGAAG
rnacentral:lncRNA from 1 species